GACGAACGCUGGCGGCGUGCUUAACACAUGCAAGUCGAGCGGUAAGGCCUUUCGGGGUACACGAGCGGCGAACGGGUGAGUAACACGUGGGUGAUCUGAUCUCCACUUUGGGAUAAUCCUGGGAAACUGGGACUACUACCGUAAAUGACCUCCAUUUGUAUGGCGGGUGGUGUAAAGAUUUAUCGGUGCAGGAUGGGUCCCCGGCUUAUCAGCUCGUUGUUCGAGUAAUGGCAUACCAAGGCGACGAUGGGUAGCCGACCUGAGAGUGUGACCCGUCACACUGGGACUGAGAGACGGACCAGACUCCUACGGGAGGCAGCAGUGGGGAAUAUUGCGCAGUAGGCGAAAGCGUGAUGCAGCGACGCCGGGUGAGGGAUGACGGCCUUCGAGUUGUAAACCUCUUUCAGCAGGUACGAAGCGCAAGUGACGGUACCUGCAGAAGAAGCACCGGCUAACUACGUG
rnacentral:rRNA from 1 species